GAACGCUGGCGGCGUGCCUAAUACAUGCAAGUCGAGCGAACGGACGAGAAGCUUGCUUCUCUGAUGUUAGCGGCGGACGGGUGAGUAACACGUGGAUAACCUACCUAUAAGACUGGGAUAACUUCGGGAAACCGGAGCUAAUACCGGAUAAUAUUUUGAACCGCAUGGUUCAAAAGUGAAAGAAGGUCUUGCUGUCACUUAUAGAUGGAUCCGCGCUGCAUUAGCUAGUUGGUAAGGUAACGGCUUACCAAGGCAACGAUGCAUAGCCGACCUGAGAGGGUGAUCGGCCACACUGGAACUGAGACACGGUCCAGACUCCUACGGGAGGCAGCAGUAGGGAAUCUUCCGCAAUGGGCGAAAGCCUGACGGAGCAACGCCGCGUGAGUGAUGAAGGUCUUCGGAUCGUAAAACUCUGUUAUUAGGGAAGAACAUAUGUGUAAGUAACUGUGCACAUCUUGACGGUACCUAAUCAGAAAGCCACGGCUAACUACGUG
rnacentral:rRNA from 1 species